GUCGCAAGACCAAAGAGGGGGACCUUCGGGCCUCUUGCCAUCAGAUGUGCCCAGAUGGGAUUAGCUUGUUGGUGAGGUAACGGCUCACCAAGGCGACGAUCCCUAGCUGGUCUGAGAGGAUGACCAGCCACACUGGAACUGAGACACGGUCCAGACUCCUACGGGAGGCAGCAGUGGGGAAUAUUGCACAAUGGGCGCAAGCCUGAUGCAGCCAUGCCGCGUGUAUGAAGAAGGCCUUCGGGUUGUAAAGUACUUUCAGCGGGGAGGAAGGUGUUGUGGUUAAUAACCGCAGCAAUUGACGUUACCCGCAGAAGAAGCACCGGCUAACUCCGUGCCAGCAGCCGCGGUAAUACGGAGGGUGCAAGCGUUAAUCGGAAUUACUGGGCGUAAAGCGCACGCAGGCGGUCUGUCAAGUCGGAUGUGAAAUCCCCGGGCUCAACCUGGGAACUGCAUUCGAAACUGGCAGGCUUGAGUCUUGUAGAGGGGGGUAGAAUUCCAGGUGUAGCGGUGAAAUGCGUAGAGAUCUGGAGGAAUACCGGUGGCGAAGGCGGCCCCCUGGACAAAGACUGACGCUCAGGUGCGAAAGCGUGGGGAGCAAACAGGAUUAGAUACCCUGGUAGUCCACGCCGUAAACGAUGUCUACUUGGAGGUUGUGCCCUUGAGGCGUGGCUUCCGGAGCUAACGCGUUAAGUAGACCGCCUGGGGAGUACGGCCGCAAGGUUAAAACUCAAAUGAAUUGACGGGGGCCCGCACAAGCGGUGGAGCAUGUGGUUUAAUUCGAUGCAACGCGAAGAACCUUACCUGGUCUUGACAUCCACAGAACUUUCCAGAGAUGGAUUGGUGCCUUCGGGAACUGUGAGACAGGUGCUGCAUGGCUGUCGUCAGCUCGUGUUGUGAAAUGUUGGGUUAAGUCCCGCAACGAGCGCAACCCUUAUCCUUUGUUGCCAGCGGUCCGGCCGGGAACUCAAAGGAGACUGCCAGUGAUAAACUGGAGGAAGGUGGGGAUGACGUCAAGUCAUCAUGGCCCUUACGACCAGGGCUACACACGUGCUACAAUGGCGCAUACAAAGAGAAGCGACCUCGCGAGAGCAAGCGGACCUCAUAAAGUGCGUCGUAGUCCGGAUUGGAGUCUGCAACUCGACUCCAUGAAGUCGGAAUCGCUAGUAAUCGUGGAUCAGAAUGCCACGGUGAAUACGUUCCCGGGCCUUGUACACACCGCCCGUCACACCAUGGGAGUGGGUUGCAAAAGAAGUAGGUAGCUUAACCUUCGGGAGGGCGCUUACCACUUUGUGAUUCAUGACUGGGGUGAAGUCGUAACAAGGUAACCGUAGGGGAACCUGCGGUUGGAUCACCUCCUUACCUUAAAGAA
rnacentral:rRNA from 1 species